GAUGAAUGCUGGCGGCGUGCCUAAUACAUGCAAGUCGAGCGAACGGACGAGAAGCUUGCUUCUCUGAUGUUAGCGGCGGACGUGUGAGUAACACGUGUAUAAUCUACCUAUAAGUCUGGUAUAACUUCGGGAAACCGUAUCUAAUACCGGAUAAUAUUUUGAACCGCAUGGGUCAAAAGUGAAAUACGGUCUUGCUGUCACUUCUAGAUGGAUCCGCGCUUCAUUAGCUAGUUGGUAAGGUAACGGCUUACCAAGGCAACGAUGCAUAGCCGAACGGAGAGGGGGGUCGGCCACACUGGAGCUGAGACACGGACCAGACUCCUACGGGAGGCCGCAGUAGGGAAUGUUCCGCAAUGGGCGGAAACCUGACGGAGCAACGCCACGUGAGUGAUGAAGGUCUUCGGAUCGUAAAACUCUGUUAUUAGGGAAGAACAUAUGUGUAAGUAACUGUGCACAUCUUGACGGUACCUAAUCAGAAAGCCACGGCUAACUACGUG
rnacentral:rRNA from 1 species